rnacentral:rRNA from 1 species
UUUCCUACGGGUGGCAGCAGUGGGGAAUCUUCCGCAAUGGACGAAAGUCUGACGGAGCAACGCCGCGUGAGUGAAGAAGGUUUUCGAAUCGUAAAGCUCUGUUGUCAGGGACGAGCAGGGGGAGUAUCAACAACACUCUCUCAUGACGGUACCUGACUAGGAAGCCACGGCUAACUACGUGCCAGCAGCCGCGGUAAUACGUAGGUGGCGAGCGUUGUCCGGAAUUAUUGGGCGUAAAGGGAGCGCAGGUGGGAAAGUAAGUCUGCUUUAAAAGUGCGGGGCUCAACCCCGGGAGGGAGUGGAAACUACUUUUCUUGAGUGCAGGAGAGGAAAGCGGAAUUCCUAGUGUAGCGGUGAAAUGCGUAGAUAUUAGGAGGAACACCAGUGGCGAAGGCGGCUUUCUGGACUGUAACUGACACUGAGGCUCGAAAGCCAGGGGAGCGAACGGGAUUAGAUACCCUUGUAGUCC